rnacentral:rRNA from 1 species
UACGUAGGUGGCAAGCGUUAUCCGGAUUUACUGGGUGUAAAGGGCGUGUAGGCGGGGACGCAAGUCAGAUGUGAAAACCACGGGCUCAACCUGUGGCCUGCAUUUGAAACUGUGUUUCUUGAGUACUGGAGAGGCAGACGGAAUUCCUAGUGUAGCGGUGAAAUGCGUAGAUAUCACGCAGAACUCCGAUUGCGAAGGCAGCAUACCGGCGCUCAACUGACGCUCAUGCACGAAAGCGUGGGUAUCGAACAGG